rnacentral:rRNA from 1 species
GGGGAAGUUUCCGCAAUGGGCGCAAGCCUGACGGAGCAACGCCGCGUGAGGGAGGAAGGCCUGUGGGUUGUAAACCUCUUUUCUCAAGGAAGAACACAAUGACGGUACUNNNNNNAUCAGCAUCGGCUAACUCCGUGCCAGCAGCCGCGGUAAGACGGAGGAUGCAAGCGUUAUCCGGAAUUAUUGGGCGUAAAGCGUCCGUAGGUGGUUAUAAAAGUCUGUUGUUAAAGCCCACAGCUCAACUGUGGAUCGGCAAUGGAAACUGUAUGACUUGAGUGUGGUAGGGGUAGAGAGNNNNNCUAGUGUAGCGGUGAAAUGCGUAGAUAUUAGGAAGAACACCAGUGGCGAAGGCGCUCUACUGGGCCAUAACUGACACUGAUGGACGAAAGCUAGGGGAGCGAAAGGGAUUAGAUACCCCUGUAGUC